GAUAAACGCUGGCGGCGUGCCUAACACAUGCAAGUCGAACGCGCUUUCUCGCAUGCUUCGUUAAGAAGCGAGCAAGAGAGCGAGUGGCGGACGGGUGAGUAACACAUGGGUCACCUACCUUUCAGUGAGGAAUACCGACGAGAAAUCGUCGACAAGACCGCAUAUGCUCUUUGCAAAGAGAGCAAAGUCCUUUCGCAAGAAGGGACGCUGGAAGAUGGGGCCNGUGGCCGAUUAGCUAGUUGGUAGGGUAAUGGCCUACCAAGGCGACGAUCGGUAGCUGGUCUGAGAGGACGAUCAGCCACACUGGGAUUGAGAACGGCCCAGACUCCUACGGGAGGCAGCAGUGA
rnacentral:rRNA from 1 species